rnacentral:rRNA from 1 species
UACGUAGGCAGCGAGCGUUGUUCGGAGUUACUGGGCGUAAAGGGUGUGUAGGCGGUUGUUUAAGUUUGGUGUGAAAUCUCCCGGCUCAACUGGGAGGGUGCGCCGAAUACUGAAUGACUAGAGUGCGGGAGAGGUGAGUGGAAUUCCUGGUGUAGCGGUGAAAUGCGUAGAUAUCAGGAGGAACACCGGUGGUGUAGACGGCUCACUGGACCGACACUGACGCUGAGGAGCGAAAGCGUGGGGAGCGAACAGG